UCGGGGACAUCCGAUAAAAUUGGAACGAUACAGAGAAGAUUAGCAUGGCCCCUGCGCAAGGAUGACACGCAUAAAUCGAGAAAUGGUCCAAAUUUUUUUUGAAAAUUUUCCCGGUUAGUUAAUCGGUAUGGGUAGUAAACCGACGUGUCGGAUCUUUGUCAUACUCAUUAGUCAUUACCGAAUCUAGUUGGUCAGAGGGUUUCUGGAUAAUACCUUGUAAGAAC